rnacentral:rRNA from 1 species
AGUGAACGCUGGCGGUAGGCCUAACACAUGCAAGUCGAACGGCAGCACAGUAAGAGCUUGCUCUUACGGGUGGCGAGUGGCGGACGGGUGAGGAAUACAUCGGAAUCUACUUUUUCGUGGGGGUUAACGUAGGGAAACUUACGCUAAUACCGCAUACGACCUACGGGUGAAAGCAGGGGAUCUUCGGACCUUGCGCGAUUGAAUGAGCCGAUGUCGGAUUAGCUAGUUGGCGGGGUAAAGGCCCACCAAGGCGACGAUCCGUAGCUGGUCUGAGAGGAUGAUCAGCCACACUGGAACUGAGACACGGUCCAGACUCCUACGGGAGGCAGCAGUGGGGAAUAUUGGACAAUGGGCGCAAGCCUGAUCCAGCCAUACCGCGUGGGUGAAGAAGGCCUUCGGGUUGUAAAGCCCUUUUGUUGGGAAAGAAAAGCAGCAGGUUAAUACCCCGCUGUUCUGACGGUACCAAAAGAAUAAGCACCGGCUAACUUCGUG